rnacentral:rRNA from 1 species
GAUGAACGCUGGCGGCGUGCCUAAUACAUGCAAGUCGAGCGAACAGACGAGGAGCUUGCUCCUCUGACGUUAGCGGCGGACGGGUGAGUAACACGUGGAUAACCUACCUAUAAGACUGGGAUAACUUCGGGAAACCGGAGCUAAUACCGGAUAAUAUAUUGAACCGCAUGGUUCAAUAGUGAAAGACGGUUUUGCUGUCACUUAUAGAUGGAUCCGCGCCGCAUUAGCUAGUUGGUAAGGUAACGGCUUACCAAGGCGACGAUGCGUAGCCGACCUGACAGGGUGAUCGGCCACACUGGAACUGAGACACGGUCCAGACUCCUACGGGAGGCAGCAGUAGGGAAUCUUCCGCAAUGGGCGAAAGCCUGACGGAGCAACGCCGCGUGAGUGAUGAAGGUCUUCGGAUCGUAAAACUCUGUUAUUAGGGAAGAACAAAUGUGUAUGUAACUAUGCACGUCUUGACGGUACCUAAUCAGAAAGCCACGGCUAACUACGUG